CGUCUAUAUACGUAUAGCAUAUCAAUAAGCGGAGGAAAAGAAACUAACAAGGAUUCCCUUAGUAACGGCGAGUGAAGCGGGAAGAGCUCAAAUUUGAAACUCUUCAAGGUUCUACCUUGACGAAUUGUAGUUUAAAGAAGUGUUUUCUGUUAGAGGAGUAGGCAAAAGUUCCUUUGGAAUAGGACAUCAUAGAGGGUGAGAAUCCCGUAUUUGGUUAUUCUUUCUAGCUUUGUGAUACACUUUCAAAGAGUCGGAUUGUUUGGGAAUGCAGUCCAAAAUGGGUGGUAAAUUUCAUCUAAAGCUAAAUAUUGGCGAGAGACCGAUAGCGAACAAGUACCGUGAGGGAAAGAUGAAAAGAACUUUGAAAAGAGAGUUAAACAGUACGUGAAAUUGUCAAAAGGGAAGCGUUUGACACCAGUGUUGUUUUUUCCGAAAAUCAAUUAAGAGUGGCUUGAUUUUGUGUUGUAUUGACCUUAUCAGCUUUCUUCACUCUUUUUCGAGUCUUUCUUAAUGCACUUUUCGGUUAACAAGUCAACAUCAAUUUCUUUUGUUGUAAAAGGGUAUUUGGAAGGUGGCUUUCUUUUCGGAGAAAGUGUUUAUAGCCUUUAUACCUCUACAAUCGGAGAGAUUGAGGUCUGCAGCGUAGAUCCUUCGGGGCUAGAUACACUUGUGCUAAGUUAUAGCUUUUCAUAGACAACUUGUUGACUAUGUUUAGUCAUGUAGCUUACCCGCUUGUGCUACUUUUACCUACGCUUAGGAUGUUGAGUCAUCACACAUCUCU
rnacentral:rRNA from 1 species